rnacentral:rRNA from 1 species
AGUUCAGAUCGUAGGCUGCAACUCGCCUACGUGAAGGAGGAAUCGCUAGUAAUCGCAGGUCAGCAUACUGCGGUGAAUACGUUCCCGGGCCUUGUACACACCGCCCGUCACACCAUGGAAGUUGGCCACGCCCGAAGCCGUUACUCCAACCCUUGUGGAGGAGGACGUCGAAGGUGGGGCUGAUGACUGGGGUGAAGUCGUAACAAGGUAGCCGUACCGGAAGGUGCGGCUGGAUCACCUCCUAA